UACCAAUGUGCUUUAAAUCCUCUCCUCAUUCUGUCAGUUUACUUCACAUAAACAUGACAGAGUUUCACAGCUGCUUAUUCUUCUCAUGUUGAACUGUGUGUGUUUGUGUUCAGACUUUAAACCAGAGCCAGACGUCGUCUCCUCUUCACUGAAGUAGUCCACCAGUCCAACCACUGACGUCCAGCUGCUGGUCUCUAACUGGUCCACACAGCCCAUCAGACAUGAGGAAUUUGACUUUUGGCAUCCGGAGCCCACCUGCCAAGCCUCAUGAAUCUAACCGCCUGGAUCCUGGUUCGCACCUGAGGGAGACUUCCCUUCCAAACUGCCAGUGUCUCCUGCCUGCCUCCCUGUAUCACACGCAGUACUCACCUGGAUACCCGCCUCACGCCAUUCCCCUCCAAACAACCUCCACCUGCAAACAUUGCCCUGGCCAGCCAUAGCUUCCCGCCCCCAGUCUCUGCACCCAGUUGUCACAGUGACUUUUCUUACUUUAGUAAUCGUUAUAGCCGCCUCUGCCUCAGACGU